rnacentral:rRNA from 1 species
CCCGCUGAACUUAAGCAUAUCAAUAAGCGGAGGAAAAGAAACCAACAGGGAUUGCCUUAGUAACGGCGAGUGAAGCGGCAAGAGCUCAAAUUUGAAAUCUGGCUUUUUAAAAGUCCGAGUUGUAAUUUGCAGAGGAUGCUUUGGGUGUCGGUUGCAGUUUAAGUCCCCUGGAACGGGGCAUCAUAGAGGGUGAGAAUCCCGUCUGGAACUGCCGGCCUAGCCCAUGUAAAGCUCCUUCGACGAGUCGAGUUGUUUGGGAAUGCAGCUCUAAAUGGGUGGUAAAUUUCAUCUAAAGCUAAAUACCGGCCAGAGACCGAUAGCGCACAAGUAGAGUGAUCGAAAGAUGAAAAGCACUUUGAAAAGAGAGUUAAACAGCAUGUGAAAUUGUUGAAAGGGAAGCGCUUGCGACCAGACUCGCCCGCAUCGGCUCAGCUGCCAUAUUUGGCAGUGCACUCCUUUGCGGUUGGGCCAGCGUCGGUUCCGACGGUUGGUUAAAGAUUCCUGGAAUGUGUCGUCUCUCCGGGGACGUCUUAUAGCCAGGGGUGUAAUGCGGCCAGUUGGGACCGAGGAUCGCGCUCCGGGCACGGACGCUGGCAUAAUGGUCGUAAGCGACCCGUCUUGAAACACGG